CACCCGAUGGCACAAGGUGUGUGUCUGCUAGUAAUGCGACAUACAAAGCAUGGUUUCAGGAGAAGGGCCUCGUUCGAUUCGGGGUCGGGUGG